UCCUCAGGGAAAUGAUUCUGUCCCAAGAUUUCCGUUUAUCUAGGGUGGAAAGGAGUUCUCCUCCAAUGGUCUGGCCAAGAAUGUUGAUGUCACAGGGAAAGGGAACAGAGUUUGAUUGUGUGUCACAUGGAACUGAGAACAGGCUGCUGUGCUUAAAGGGACACCCUUAUCAAUUAGGUAAUGUCUGCUAAUGAUUGAGGAACUGUGUUAUGCAGAGCUCCAGCUGUUGAAAUGGGAACAAACAUCUGCAAGGGACACUCAUACCUUGGGGGAAAAGGUUUUCUUGGGCUGGAUCCCACUGGUUUGAGCUCUGAAAGACUGGCAGACCCAACAGCACCACAGGGCUCCUGAAACAGAGCAACCUGCAGAUUGCGGACUGGGCUGUUGAGACGGCGGCAGUUGGGAUCUUGGUUCCACUGCCGGAGGUUCGCAGCCCUCAGGAUGACCUCUUCCUGCUAUCCUGUGUCUUUGGCAUCAGAGAGGACCCUCCUUUGCCACAGCCAAGUCGACAAUGGCUCCGCAGUAGGAGGGCACUGCAUUUAUGUGGCUGUGUUAUCCACGCCUCGUGGACGUCAUCCCCUGCAACUUUCUCACAGAUAUCCAUGGAGGUGCCAUCUUUGUGGCAGGUUCUGAUCCCAGUGCUGAGGACACAGAGGUAGGUGAACCACACCCAAAGCAUAAGGAAUAUCUACGAGGCAAAAAGACCCCUCUGUCACACAAGGAAGUCAUUUUCCCUCUGCAAUUGAGUGAGGGGCAGCCCCUGACUUCCUUGUCUGGGAAGCACCUCGUGCUCCCUACACAGUGCUGAGCAAAGUUGUUGUCACCCUGAAGUUCCUCAUCCUCAGUGAAGACCCGAUCCUACAUACACACAAACACAGGUACCUACCUUAGGCAUACAAGCUGGUAAAAUACUCAUCUCUGCCCUAUAUGCUUCUUUUUUAAAAAUAGGGGGAAAA